rnacentral:rRNA from 1 species
CAGAGGGUGCAAGCGUUGUUCGGAAUUAUUGGGCGUAAAGCGCGUGUAGGCGGCAGUGCAAGUCGGGUGUGAAAGCCCUCGGCUCAACCGAGGAAGUGCGCCCGAAACUGCAUUGCUUGAGUACCGGAGAGGAUGGCGGAAUUCCCGAAGUAGAGGUGAAAUUCGUAGAUAUCGGGAGGAACACCGGUGGCGAAGGCGGCCAUCUGGACGGAUACUGACGCUGAGACGCGAAAGCGUGGGUAGCAAACAGGAUUAGAUACCCUGGUAGUCCACGCCGUAAACGAUGAGAACUAGGUGUUGUGGGUGUUGACCCCCGCGGUGCCGAAGCUAACGCAUUAAGUUCUCCGCCUGGGAAGUACGGCCGCAAGGCUA